rnacentral:rRNA from 1 species
AGUCGAGGGGCAGCGGGGGUGAUGGCUUGCCAUCGCCUGCCGGCGACCGGCGCACGGGUGAGUAACACGUAUGCAACCUGCCCGCCACAGGGGGAUAAGCGGAAGAAAUUCCGUCUAAUACCGCGUGACGCGGCGCCGGGGCAUCCCGGUGCCGCCAAAGGGAUUACCGGUGGCGGAUGGGCAUGCGGCGCAUUAGCUAGUCGGCGGGGUAACGGCCCACCGAGGCGACGAUGCGUAGGGGUUCUGAGAGGAAGGUCCCCCACACUGGUACUGAGACACGGACCAGACUCCUACGGGAGGCAGCAGUGAGGAAUAUUGGUCAAUGGCCGAGAGGCUGAACCAGCCAAGUCGCGUGAGGGAAGACGGCCCUACGGGUUGUAAACCUCUUUUGUCGGGGAGCAAAGCGAACCACGUGUGGUUCAUUGAGAGUACCCGAAGAAAAAGCAUCGGCUAACUCCGUGCCAGCAGCCGCGGUAAUACGGAGGAUGCGAGCGUUAUCCGGAUUUAUUGGGUUUAAAGGGUGCGCAGGCGGAGGUGCAAGUCAGCGGUCAAAUUGCGGGGCUCAACCCCGUACUGCCGUUGAAACUGCAUCCCUUGAGUGCGCGAGAAGUAUGCGGAAUGCGUGGUGUAGCGGUGAAAUGCAUAGAUAUCACGCAGAACUCCGAUUGCGAAGGCAGCAUACCGGCGCGCAACUGACGCUCAUGCACGAAAGCGUGGGUAUCGAACAGGAUUAGAUACCCUGGUAGUCCACGCAGUAAACGAUGAACACUAACUGUUCGGCCAGAAUGAUGGCUGAGUGGUACAGCGAAAGCGUUAAGUGUUCCACCUGGGGAGUAC